CUUCUCUUGAGAGCGGCGGACGGGUGAGUAAUACCUAGGAAUCUGCCUGAUAGUGGGGGAUAACGUUCGGAAACGGACGCUAAUACCGCAUACGUCCUACGGGAGAAAGCAGGGGACCUUCGGGCCUUGCGCUAUCAGAUGAGCCUAGGUCGGAUUAGCUAGUUGGUGAGGUAAUGGCUCACCAAGGCUACGAUCCGUAACUGGUCUGAGAGGAUGAUCAGUCACACUGGAACUGAGACACGGUCCAGACUCCUACGGGAGGCAGCAGUGGGGAAUAUUGGACAAUGGGCGAAAGCCUGAUCCAGCCAUGCCGCGUGUGUGAAGAAGGUCUUCGGAUUGUAAAGCACUUUAAGUUGGGAGGAAGGGCAUUAACCUAAUACGUUAGUGUUUUGACGUUACCGACAGAAUAAGCACCGGCUAACUCUGUGCCAGCAGCCGCGGUAAUACAGAGGGUGCAAGCGUUAAUCGGAAUUACUGGGCGUAAAGCGCGCGUAGGUGGUUUGUUAAGUUGAAUGUGAAAUCCCCGGGCUCAACCUGGGAACUGCAUCCAAAACUGGCAAGCUAGAGUAUGGUAGAGGGUAGUGGAAUUUCCUGUGUAGCGGUGAAAUGCGUAGAUAUAGGAAGGAACACCAGUGGCGAAGGCGACUACCUGGACUGAUACUGACACUGAGGUGCGAAAGCGUGGGGAGCAAACAGGAUUAGAUACCCUGGUAGUCCACGCCGUAAACGAUGUCAACUAGCCGUUGGGAGUCUUGAACUCUUAGUGGCGCAGCUAACGCAUUAAGUUGACCGCCUGGGGAGUACGGCCGCAAGGUUAAAACUCAAAUGAAUUGACGGGGGCCCGCACAAG
rnacentral:rRNA from 1 species